rnacentral:ncRNA from 1 species
UAAGUCCCUGCCGGGAAAGGUCUAACCCGCCACCCGUAUCGAGUGUUGCGCCUGUUGCGGAGCUUGGAACGUCAAGCGAACAAGACAGGUGAAGCGUACACAGAGAAUUGUGCAGGCCGUAGGGAGUUCGCAGCUCCUGAGAGUUGGUACAGCUUCGAAAUGAAAGUCGAGAUCGACGAGGGCUUUAACGCGCACCGAAGUCAAUACAGAAGCAUCCGUAUCGUGGUGAGGAUGUGGAGGGUCUCCGGAGUCAUCAGACU